rnacentral:rRNA from 1 species
AUUGAACGCUGGCGGAAUGCUUUACACAUGCAAGUCGAACGGUAGAGGGGGCAACCCCUCGAGAGUGGCGAACGGGUGAGUAAUAUAUCGGAACGUGCCCAGUCGUGGGGGAUAACGUAGCGAAAGUUACGCUAGUACCGCAUACGAUCUACGGAUGAAAGCGGGGGAUCGCAAGACCUCGCGCGAUUGGUGCGGCCGAUAUCAGAUUAGGUAGUUGGUGGGGUAAAGGCUCACCAAGCCAACGAUCUGUAGCUGGUCUGAGAGGACGACCAGCCACACUGGAACUGAGACACGGUCCAGACUCCUACGGGAGGCAGCAGUGGGGAAUUUUGGACAAUGGACGCAAGUCUGAUCCAGCCAUUCCGCGUGCAGGAUGAAGGCCCUCGGGUUGUAAACUGCUUUUGUACGGAACGAAAAGGUUUCCAUUAAUACUGGGAGCUCAUGACGGUACCGUAAGAAUAAGCACCGGCUAACUACGUGCCAGCAGCCGCCGUAA